ensembl:snoRNA AF357399 small nucleolar RNA SNORA40
AGCACCUGUGUGGGUUUUUGUUUACUGGUGGGCAAAGACUUAAGAGACAGGUGCAAAAAUAAAUCCUCUUUUGCAACCCAGAGCUCAUUGUUGUAUGAGUUUUGGUACAUGUAAGAAGGGAUAUC